UCACGGAAGAAGGUUGCAGAUUUUCGUUGGUGUUGCUAGAAUGGUCAAUUUAGCUGGAAUAAACUGUUAGAAAUUCUCUGGAUAAACCGUAAAGUUUCUGGAUCACCACAACUUCGCGGCUAACGUAACGGACCUAACGUGAAACAUAACAGAUUUCAUUGUGCGCUGCAGCGAACUUAAACGUUACUUGAGAAAACGUUGGAUGCGAUCAUCAUUCGUCCGUUAGGCAACAUGGAUUUCCGAGUGCCGUUCAGCUCUGUCUGCAACGUUACUAAAACACACCAGUUGGGCCGGAGAGUUCUGGUGAAAGAAGAGAACAUAAAAUAGGAUAAUUAGGAAUAUUAUGGUCGUGUGGUUAAAUCUGAAACAGACGAGCCCAACGUUUACCCCGAAACAAAUACAAAAGUGGAGAUUGAAGUGAAGAAAGAGGAGCAGGAGGACGAUUAUCUACUGGAAAAUAGACAACCAACAGCCCUAAUUCUUGGGUGCAACUACAUUCGCAAUGGGGAGGAGAGAGCCAGGAGGUCUUUGGGGCGAAACCUGGGUGCCAAUGCCCAGGUUGAGUGGCUUGGCUUGGAUGGAAUGCGGUGGCACUCUGUUGUCCCCUGCUUCUAUGAUUGGCUGAGAGGAAAAUUCGCACCGGAUGUCCUGCUGAUUCACUGCGGCGGGAAUGACUUGGGGAAGCUCAAGUCCCUGCGUCUCGUCGCAGCGAUGAAGCGGGACCUUCAGGAUCUCCAUCAGCGUUUCCCCAAUAUGCUAAUCGUCUAUUCGGCCAUCACCCAGAGACGCUGCUGGGGAUGUGUACGUCCGAAGAGAAUCGAGCGUUCUCGUAAGUGGGUGAACAGUGAAAUGGCUACCUUUGUUAUGGGUAUGAACGGGGGUAUUGUGCAUCACCGUUACAUACGCUUUUACAAGCCUGAACUGUUUCUGAGGGACACUUUUCAUUUGUCCACUUUGGGCAAUGACAUUUUUUUUAAUGCUUUUUCAGAGUGUCUGAGGACAAUAUUCCCGUAGGGUGAGACAGGAUUUUUGCUCUAGAAGCCAUUUGGCUUUAGCUCAGGCUUGUAAACCCUUAAAACUCAGGUGGCAUAUAUCCGUGCUGCUGAUGCACCCUUGAGAAAUUAACUAACUUUUACACUUUUUUCUGGAAGUGCUGCUGGUGUCAGGUUCAAGGAUCACGCUUAGCUAAGCGCUUUAUGGAAACAUAUUGUAGAAGCAACGUUAUUGUUAUUUUAAAAACAUGUAAAUGUGUCAAAGACUUAUGUGGUUGGGGGACAGCCAAUUAUGUGGUGUGUUAUAAAGACAUUGUGCAAAUCAUGUGUUGUGAUCUCGAUGUUGGAGCAAGGUUGGUGUCGUGAAGCCUUGGCGCACACGCAUUUCUGCCGAAAUAGAUGCCCGAUAAGUGCCCAAAAACUGCUACAAUAUGGCCGCUGAGUGGAGGGACUUGCCUAAAAGGACUUUGGAUUAUAGAUGAGUAAUGGUGGCAUCUUUCCAUAGACGUAAUCCAUCCAUUGACUUGUAUAUAAAUGGAGCAUCAAAAGGACUUUGUGGAGGGAUAUAUCUCUGACUAUGAUGGCAAUGGAAAAACAUUCAGUGGAAUUUAUUUAACAAUAAGUGUGUGUAUUAUUUCAAUUAGUAAAACGUUUCAUCUAUGUAUUUGUGUUUUGCCAAUAUAUAUAUAUAUAUUUUUUAAUAAAUCAUUCCGAUUUGAAAUA